rnacentral:tRNA from 2 species
GCCCCCAUCGUCUAGAGGCCUAGGACACCGCCCUUUCACGGCGGCGGCAGCGGUUCGAAUCCGCUUGGGGGUACCA